rnacentral:misc_RNA from 1 species
AAGCCGAAGGUUUUCGCGGUGGAACAAUCUGAGGCGCUGCAGAGUCGCGACGGCAGCCACCGGCGCGCGAUCAUAUACAAAAUACGCACGGCUAUACUUAAUAUAUAUAUAUAGAUAUACAUUUAUAUAUGCUCACUAAUCAUAUAUAUGUAUAUAUACAAUCAUAUACAUAUACGUAGUAUACACACAUGUAUAUCUAUACGAACUCCCUCCACGGAAGAAUAAUUAGCAGUGUGCGUAAACAUUCUCUGAGGGUCAUCACCGAUAAGCCCAGCUGUUCCGUAUCGCUUAAAAAUACACAAAUAAACAAACAAUAAACAACUUUAUUAAUAAAUAAUUACACUUAUUAGCCUCCAACGCGAGUUCGUGAUAAAAUUUUCUCAACAUAAAACUACAUUUUUUUUAAAUAUUUCAAAUUUUAAACAGGGCGAAAGUAAAUAAAAACAGUGACGUCGAUAUCAUCCCUCGUAAACACGUGGACGGCGCACACGGCCCACGCCGGUGGAGAGGGCGGGGGUCGCUUUAGGGUGGGAGAAGAGAGAGAGACUAUUUUUGAUAACAGAACAAUAAUUAAUUGAACAAAUAAAACAUUUUUGUUAAAUUUUAAUAUUAAGAGACUAAAAGGUGCUUGUUAAUUUGCGAUUACAAUUACAAUCAUCAAGAACGGAUCAGUCAACAAAGUUUACCGAGGAUAUGUUGGAGCCACGCUGGAGACCCGUCCAGGGACAUAUUGGUGAAAGUCCAUUCGACACUGGAUCUUGGGGCAAAGAACACUUUCAACAAACUUCUUGGCAGCUUAAUCCCCGCGGCCAUAUUCGACCCAGUGACGAUGGCAUAAUGGAUCAUGACACGGACGGAGACGGUGCGAUCAACUUGUCAACGUCUCAACGACCCUCUGCUUCGACUACUCCGAAUGGUGAUGGUCCACUUUACGGCCAAGAUCAACACGAUAAAGAUCAGGCAACAACACUGUACGCAGUCUUGAAGCAACACCAGUCAAGAGACUUGAAUUGGGAGCGAGACAGUUUGCUCCAAAAAAGCACAAAAGAGAGACUUGAGAGACUGGGAUUGACCGGGUUGGACAGAACCACGUUAGCAACGACAUUGACGACGGAAACAGCUACCCCAGCGGGAUCAAUAGGUGACCAGAACCACCACUACCACCAGGACCCAACGAUCGAGUAUCGUAGCAAUGGCAAGCUCAGUCCAACAACUGGGCAAAAUUCAGUGACAACAGCAUCACCCAUGACCCAGCAAAAGCAACCGACACUAUCAUCGCAAUCUUCACAGCAGGCUUGCUCCGGUACGACACCAAGCUCACAGCAGACGAGUCCGCGCCAAAGCCCUCAGGCGUUGCACCGUGCUUCGUCUCCCAAUCCCCAUCAGGGACAACUGCCUGGUGGUGGUCCACCUGGUGGUCCACCAACACAUAAUUCUACUCAGAUGAUGCUCAGUCCGGCCAGUGGCCUACAUCAUCAAAUGCAGCAACUACUUCAGCAACACAUUCUAACGCCCACCCAGCUCCAGUCUUUUGUGCAGCAGCAUACUCUUUAUUUACAACAACAGCAACAGCAGCAUCAUCAGGAAUCGUCUUCCGAACAUGUCGCUAAUCAAGAAAGAUUUGGUUAUUUUUCAUCCAUAAAAAACCACCAGCAUCAACUCGCGGAGUUGGGGAGAAAGCAGCUGGAGCAGAACAUGCAGCAAUUGCAGGAACAAUUGCAGCUUAAUCUGAUCCAGCAGACGCAUCUCCUGCAGACCGCAGACAAGAAGAAGAAUUCAGUGCCAUUACAGCAGCUCGGGGUCCAGCAGCACCAAAUUAUCCAGCAGCUGCAGAUGACCCAGAGACAAUAUCUGUUCCAGCAGGGACUGAGUCUACAGAGUCAUAAUCAUUCCUCUGGCAAUUUAUCCAAUGAUAAUGUGCCUGCUUGGAAAUCGGAGCCCAACGAAAGCAAUGAGGCUCAUCAAAAUUCCCUUGUUCCCAAAUCAGGAGCUAGUCUAAAUGGACUCAUAAACUCGAUAGCAAAUCGACGCUCGGAACUAAACGGAACAACCCUGGUGGACGAAAAGCCACUGGAUGUUUCAUGUCAUGACAAAGCUCACCCCCUCUACGGUCAUGGAGUAUGCAAAUGGCCAAGCUGUGAAGUUAUUUGCGAUGACUAUCAAUCAUUCCUCAAACAUAUGAACACCGAGCACACGUUAGACGACAGAUCGACAGCUCAAGCACGAGUUCAAAUGCAAGUUGUGUCUCAAUUAGAGAUCCAGCUGCAGAAAGAACGCGAUAUACUAGGGGCCAUGAUGCAUCACCUUCAUGUAGCCAAGCAAAUGUCUUCUCCGGAACCUCCGAAGUCGUCUGAAUCCUCGACGGGUUCAAGUUUAUCAAAAUUAAAUUUAUCAACUGGUUUAAUGAAUCAGCCACCGCCAAAUUUUGGUGUUUCGCAAGUAUCCCCGGCAUCAAUGUCAGCACUAGUCUCAGCAGUGAGAUCGCCGGGAGGCGGACCGAUGGCGCCAUCUGCCGGGAGCACGCCAAUGCCGCCGAUACCCAACAUGUCGAGCAUAGCGGGAAUCCCGUUGCCAAACAUGCCCGGAAGCUUACCAACAAUACCAGGCGGAUUAUCAGGCAUGGCAGCGCCUAUAAGGAGGCGAAUCAGCGAUAAAUCUGCGCUAUCUCUCGCGGGAGGGCUGCCCUACAUGCUCGAGCGGGCUGGCCUUGACGUCCAACAAGAAAUUCAACGGAAUAGAGAGUUCUACAAAAAUGCAGACGUAAGACCACCCUUCACGUACGCAUCACUGAUACGCCAGUCGAUAAUUGAAUCACCCGAGAAGCAAUUAACCCUCAACGAGAUCUACAACUGGUUUCAAAAUACAUUCUGUUACUUCCGACGAAAUGCCGCCACCUGGAAGGGGUGUACCAUCUAAAAGUCCCACGCUAACGCAUAGUCCGACAAUGUACGGUGACGCUCUCAAUGCCAAUCUCCAGUAUUUCCAGGCUGCGCUGGGCGAGUCGAAUAUGGGAUUUCUAAACAACUCGAUGUGUACAUCAACAGCGACAAGUCCGGACAAGGAGCACGUGAUGCCACACAACGAUCUAAU